rnacentral:misc_RNA from 1 species
GAUGAAGAACGCAGCGAAAUGCGAUACUUGGUGUGAAUUGCAGAAUCCCGUGAACCAUCGAGUCUUUGAACGCAAGUUGCGCCCGAAGCCAUUAGGCCGAGGGCACGCCUGCCUGGGCGUCACACGUCGUUGCCCCCCCAUCUACUCCUUCGGGAUUGCGGGGGGCGGAUGAUGGCCUCUCGUGCGCCUCGUCGCGCGGUUGGCCUAAAUGCCAAGUCCUCGGCGACGCACGCCACGACAAUCGGUGGUUGCGAAACCUCGGUUGCCUGUCGUGUGAGGUCGUCGCGCAUCGAGGGCUCGAAAAAAUUGCCGGGCUUCGGCUCGACUUUCAACGCGACCCCAGGUCAGGCGGGGUUACCCGCUGAAUUUAAGCAUAUCAAUAAGCGGAGGA